rnacentral:rRNA from 1 species
UCAUGUUAACGGUAAGUUUACUUACCGCUUAACAUCGAGUGUUAAAUAUGCUAGUCCUUUCAUGAUUAUGUGAUAGGUGGUGCAUGGCCGUUCUUAGUUCGUGGAGUGAUCUGUCUGCUUAAUUGCGUUUCACUAAGGGCCCAUAAAUUCAAGGUAUGUUAGCUCUCGUCGCUCUAUGGACCCCUUAACUCCAAUAUUCUUAUUGUGUUAAGCGCGUGUCUUUAUUUUAAGAGUUUUAAGACACUGCGCAUG